CCGGGUGGAGGUAACAACGUAAUCCAGCCUGCCGUCUACUCUUGGACAGCCUUCUGAAGGAAGAUUAAUACAAGAUGGCAUCAUGAGUUCACAUGUUCACAUGAUUAAAGGUAUUCUGGUAGACGAUGGGGAUGCGUUCCAUUAGAUAGUAGGCGGGGUAACGGCCCACCUAGUCUUCGAUGGAUAGGGGUUCUGAGAGGAAGGUCCCCCACAUUGGAACUGGGACACGGUCCAA
rnacentral:rRNA from 1 species